UUGAAUGGUCGCUGUCGAGGUUCCCCAUCCCAGGCAUGGCGGUGGGGCUAAGACGGGAAGCCAGUGGCGCCCUUGCGGGCGGAGUCUGGCGCUGCCCCCGCAACUGUAAGCGGCGAGCGGCGGUUUCCUCGGGUGCCACUGCGCCUUGCAAGAGGCUCGGGAAGGCCGGAACCGUCGCAUUGACCCGUGAGCCAGGAGACCUGCCUCCGACGCAAGACGUUC
rnacentral:ncRNA from 2 species